rnacentral:misc_RNA from 1 species
GGCAGAUAGGCAGUUUAUGGAAGAAAUCCAAACAAGACAGUACAGGGCUCCUGAAGUCAUACUGCAGUCUGGAUAUUCCUACUCAGUUGACAUGUGGUCAUUUGGUUGCAUUGCUUUUGAACUCGCCACAGGUGACAUGAUGUUUACCCCAAAAGGAGGACAAGACUAUAGCGAGGACGAGGAUCAUCUUGCAUUGAUGAUGGAACUCCUUGG